rnacentral:misc_RNA from 1 species
GAUGAAGAACGUAGCGAAAUGCGAUAAGUAAUGUGAAUUGCAGAAUUCAGUGAAUCAUCGAAUCUUUGAACGCACAUUGCGCCCCCUGGUAUUCCGGGGGGCAUGCCUGUCCGAGCGUCAUUACAACCCUCAAGCUCAGCUUGGUGUUGGGCCCCGCCGCCCCGGCGGGCCCUAAAGUCAGUGGCGGUGCCGUCCGGCUCCGAGCGUAGUAAUUCUUCUCGCUCUGGAGGUCCGGUCGUGUGCUCGCCAGCAACCCCCAAUUUUUUUCAGUUUGACCUCGGAUCAGGUAGGGAUACCCGCUGAACUUAAGCAUAUCAAUAAGCGGAGGA